rnacentral:lncRNA from 1 species
UUUUCUUAUGUUGCUUUGGUCAGGUAUUUUUAUCAUAGCAACAAGAAAAGCAGUUAGCCUACUGUCAUCUCUCAUCUCCCUCCCUCACCUCUCCCUCUUCUUCCCUUUAAAACAGAUGACAGUGGCCAUUAUUUUCCACCCCCUCCCAGGCUAUCUGGUACUCACUUCACAGCCCAGAAUGUCUUCGGAUCAAGACAAUUCUCUUCAUCUUCCUGUUUUGCAUAGCCCAGAGAAUGAGGUGCUAUAGGUCACAGGCAGACUUUCAGUUUUGAAUGAAGAGGCUUAUUAAAUGUGAAGCAAACAAAAUUAAACAAACAAACAAACGGUUCUGGAGACUAAGGACGAUGCAAGCACCUCACCAGCUGGUCUAGAUUUCCAGGGCCAUUCUGCACACUUUCAAAACUUCCUGCGGUGCUGCAUAGACUGUGCACAUGAGAACAUUCUUAGGGUUGAGAACAUCUCCUUGGAAUGCAAUCUGUUUUGAUAGCAUGUGGAGACUGAUUUGAUAACUCACAGCAGCACACAUGAAUGUUUCAUUCAUUUUUCAUGGGGACAGUAACUUUUUUGGCUUACACAAUGCCCGGCUGCAAAGAGCAGGCCACAUCCAUCAGAGUGACAUACUGCAGAGCAAUGUGUUGCUUGGCACUGGAAGCAUGAAGAUCCGCCCUGUCCUAGAUGCACAGAGCACAUCAAAUAUGGAAGCAAAUGUUACUUGUGAUAGCUGUGAGAAUGUCCUUAGGGGUCU